UAUGGUGUCCGUGGUAGGAGAGCGUUCUAAGGGCGGUGAAGCAAGACCGGAAGGACUUGUGGAGCGCUUAGAAGUGAGAAUGCCGGUAUGAGUAGCGAAAGAAGGGUGAGAAUCCCUUCCACCGAAUGCCUAAGGUUUCCUGAGGAAGGCUCGUCCUCUCAGGGUUAGUCGGGACCUAAGCCGAGGCCGACAGGCGUAGGCGAUGGACAACAGGUUGAUAUUCCUGUACCACCUCUUCACCAUUUGAGCAAUGGGGGGACGCAGGAGGAUAGGGCAAGCGCACAGUUGGUUGUGCGUCCAAGCAGUUAGGCCGGUGACGAGGCAAAUCCCGUCACCAUCAAGGCGGAGCUGUGACGGCGAGGGAAAUUUAGUACCGAAGUUCCUGAUUCCACACUGCCAAGAAAAGCCUCUAGCGAGGUGAAAGGUGCCCGUACCGCAAACCGACACAGGUAGGCGAGGAGAGAAUCCUAAGGUGAGCGAGUGAACUCUCGUUAAGGAACUCGGCAAAAUGACCCCGUAACUUCGGGAGAAGGGGUGCUCUUUGGGGUGCAUAGCCCUGAGGAGCCGCAGUGAAUAGGCCCAGGCGACUGUUUAGCAAAAACACAGGUCUCUGCGAAGCCGCAAGGCGAAGUAUAGGGGCUGACGCCUGCCCGGUGCUGGAAGGUUAAGAGGAGGGGUUAGCUCACGCGAAGCUCUGAAUUGAAGCCCCAGUAAACGGCGGCCGUAACUAUAACGGUCCUAAGGUAGCGAAAUUCCUUGUCGGGUAAGUUCCGACCCGCACGAAAGGCGUAACGAUCUGGGCACUGUCUCAACGAGAGACUCGGUGAAAUUAUAGUACCUGUGAAGAUGCAGGUUACCCGCGACAGGACGGAAAGACCCCGUGGAGCUUUACUGCAGCCUGAUAUUGAAUUUCGGCACAGCUUGUACAGGAUAGGUAGGAGCCUUUGAACCCGGAGCGCCAGCUUCGGGGGAGGCGUCGGUGGGAUACUACCCUGGCUGUGUUGAACUUCUAACCCGCACCCGUGAUCCGGGUGGGAGACAGUGUCAGGCGGGCAGUUUGACUGGGGCGGUCGCCUCCUAAAAAGUAACGGAGGCGCCCAAAGGUUCCCUCAGAAUGGUUGGAAAUCAUUCGCAGAGUGUAAAGGCACAAGGGAGCUUGACUGCGAGACCUACAAGUCGAGCAGGGACGAAAGUCGGGCUUAGUGAUCCGGUGGUUCCGCAUGGAAGGGCCAUCGCUCAACGGAUAAAAGCUACCCCGGGGAUAACAGGCUUAUCUCCCCCAAGAGUCCACAUCGACGGGGAGGUUUGGCACCUCGAUGUCGGCUCAUCGCAUCCUGGGGCUGUAGUCGGUCCCAAGGGUUGGGCUGUUCGCCCAUUAAAGCGGUACGCGAGCUGGGUUCAGAACGUCGUGAGACAGUUCGGUCCCUAUCCGUCGCGGGCGCAGGAAAUUUGAGAGGAGCUGUCCUUAGUACGAGAGGACCGGGAUGGACGCACCGCUGGUGUACCAGUUGUCUUGCCAAAGGCAUCGCUGGGUAGCUAUGUGCGGACGGGAUAAGUGCUGAAAGCAUCUAAGCAUGAAGCCCCCCUCAAGAUGAGAUUUCCCAUAGCGCAAGCUAGUAAGAUCCCUGAAAGAUGAUCAGGUAGAUAGGUUCGAGGUGGAAGCGUGGCGACACGUGGAGCUGACGAAUACUAAUCGAUCGAGGACUUA
rnacentral:rRNA from 1 species